rnacentral:rRNA from 1 species
AUGAACGCUGGCGGCGUGCCUAAUACAUGCAAGUCGAGCGAACAGGCGAGGAGCUUGCUCCUCUGACGUUAGCGGCGGACGGGUGAGUAACACGUGGAUAACCUACCUAUAAGACUGGGAUAACUUCGGGAAACCGGAGCUAAUACCGGAUAAUAUAUUGAACCGCAUGGUUCAAUAGUGAAAGACGGUUUUGCUGUCACUUAUAGAUGGAUCCGCGCCGCAUUAGCUAGUUGGUAAGGUAACGGCUUACCAAGGCGACGAUGCGUAGCCGACCUGAGAGGGUGAUCGGCCACACUGGAACUGAGACACGGUCCAGACUCCUACGGGAGGCAGCAGUAGGGAAUCUUCCGCAAUGGGCGAAAGCUUGACGGAGCAACGCCGCGUGAGUGAUGAAGGUCUUCGGAUCGUAAAACUCUGUUAUUAGGGAAGAACAAAUGUGUAAGUAACUAUGCACGUCUUGACGGUACCUAAUCAGAAAGCCACGGCUAACUACGUG